UAUGGCCACAUCAUGUUGAAACACUGAUUCCUGUACGAUCAUUGAAAUUAAGCAAUGUUGAUCCUGGUUAAUACUUAGAUGAGUGACCCCUUGCGAAUAUCAGGUGCUGUAAG